AGAGAAAGGCACUACAGCUCUGAGCAACAGUGACAGGAUGAUCCUGGGUGAAGGAAAGAUGAAUCGAUGGGAAAAUCUAUCGUUGCCUACGUUAUUUCUGUGCCACAUCAUCUUGAAGUAUUUCAAAACAGAGCAACAUGAAAAGCUCAUCUUGAAGUGUUUGGCUUCUGCACUCCAGACUUCUGAGCUCUCAUCGCUAUAGGAUCUGAGCACCUUCCAUCAGCACAUUAAACACCACGACUAACGUCUGCCAUGUUUUGCUUGCUUUCGCAUCCUCCCCUCUGGGGAAAAUGCAGUUUUCAGUUCAGCCUGUGCUUUGUGAGAGAUGAUGAUCUUCCCUCAAAUGCUAAAAGGGGAGCUGUUUGGGUUUGGACAUCUGGGAAAGACGAUACAAAGCCAGCAAGACCUCCCAUUGGUAAGAUGCCACCAAUAUCUUCUGGCCUUCAGCAUCAGUCCAGUGUCUCUCAAGCGUUUUCUUCCUAUUUGUCACCCUCAAAGGUCGCCUCAGCACACAGAUGGCCCCUGUUCAAUGAAGCAUGGAGGAAGGCAGCCAGAACGCGGGUGGCAGCCAUCCCCGGCGGCAUGUGACAGAUUGAGAUUUUUUUGUGUCACCACUAAGCAGGAAGCAAAGCAUGUGCUCUUUGCUCCCACCAUCAAACCUGCAAGUCCCUUCUCCCUGGGGUGCCUGGCCCCUCCAUGGGUAUGUCUGGGCCUGAAUCUAUCGGAUUUUCCAUCCCUCUCCUCUGUCCCCACGAGGCCAAAUUGCAGGGCUGCAUCCUUCCCUUGCAGAGCGGUGCUGGUGCCAGGGAAAAAGUGGGGGGAUGAAGGCAGCAGAGAGGAUGAGCAGGAUGUGUGCAGUGGCUCUGACAAAGGCAGUUUGGCAUGUCGCCACCCAUAGACAACCACCUUGGCAGGUUCAGGAGCUCCCUGUGGAUGGGCAAGCCAGUAUCGCAUCAGUAGCAUCCAUCCCAUCCCUGCAGCCAGGUCUCUGUGACCACAGCGGUACGUUUCUGAAGAGCUACAGAGGACUUUCUGGCAUGAAAUUCUAUCUUGCUGACGUAUUUGUUGAGUCAAUGCCCUACUCAGCAUCCAGAAACACAGUCUGGGACUAUUAGCAUAUUUAUAAUUUCAUCAGUGCUUAUGAGCCUUCAGAUUGACUCUGUUCUCUCACUGGAGUCAUCGUUUACUUCAGCAUAAUUUUUUUUUAAAUUCAUGCCCUCCCCCACCACACAUGCACAGACCUCGCAGAGAUUUUCAUGCAUUUAAAUUAAAAAAGCUGAACAAUUCCCUUUUCUCAUUCACAUUAUGCAGCAUUGCCCUUCUCUGUACUUUAUCCUAUUUCAGAGCUGUCAUGCAAACAAACCCAACUUAAAAAAAAAAAAAAAAAAUCAUUAAAGAAGUGUGCAUCCUAUCAGCCUUCUGUCUCAGCUCCUUCUCUCACUAUAUGUGCAGGGAAAAAUCCCUUCUCCUGCUUGCCCUCCUCUUUCAGGUGUUUUCACUUCUUUCUUAGCUGUGAUCCAAUAUCUCUAUGGUUCCCCAGAGUGCUCUGGUCUGCUCCAAUUGCCCAAUAAACCCCUACUCUCUUUCCCUCCUACACAUGUGCUAUUUACUAUUCCAGGGUCAUGGAGCUACUGUUUUCUAAAGCACUUUUCUGUCUCCUUCCUUGAUUACUCCAGAAGCAGGCGUUCUCUUUUUCUGUAAAAUCUGUCCUGUCAAGCACACUAUACCGCUAGGACACCCUCUUUUAUUUUUCUACCUGAGUAUAUCUGGACGAAGUAGUCAUUGCAUCUCUUUCCUCCAUCCCUGCAAUAUCUGAUUGUUUUUAAUAUUUUUUCUUAAUCUCUUUCAUAUCGUCUGAGUCACCUUUUGAAGAAGACGCAGCCAUAGGCAUUCAACAUGCGUUGAUUAGGGGUUUUUUUAAUUAUUAUUAUUAUUAUUAUUCAAGUAUAAUUUCCAGUCUAGCUUAUCUUAGCCUUCUUCAUCAUGACAAAAAGGUUAUGAUCUGUCAAGCCUGUCCCUU